GUUUCCCAUUUUGCCCCUCCGCAGUCUGCGCUCACUUGUCGUGACUCUCCACACUCACUGUCUCACCAGUCGCUCCCUGAAUCCCUAGCUCCUCCGACGUCGCCGCCCAAAUCCCUAGCUCCUCCGACUCGCCGCCCAAAUCCCCAGCUCCUCCGAUGUCGCCGCCCGCAUCCCCCUCGCCCGCGUGGCCGCCCGCAUCCUUCUCGCCCACGUCGCCGUAGCCCUCGUCGCCUCUUCCUCUCGCCCCGCGUCACCUCUCGAUGGAGUUAAAGGUGCCUUUUUUAGUCAAGCCGAGAGGAGCGCGGGCACCAACGGCGGCGAGGACCAGCGGGAGGAGCUAUGCUGCUGGCUGGAUCUGAAGUUGUUGUAUACUCAGCGGGAGUAUGAAGUAGGAGGCCGUCGCCCGUCGCCGUGAGCUGGAGCAGGAGGAGCGCAGGCACGGCGGCCUGGUCGACGACGACAACAUGUCCAGCCCGUGCAAGGCCAGCAAGGGCACGUGAAGCAGCAGGACGUCCUACUCGACGACGGCGGCAACGAACACCGGCGUUCCUCGCCGCCCUCGACCCCAGCAUAUCGAGCGCGUGAAUUUACAGUAAAAUUUACUCCAGGGAGCAAGAUCACAUUACUGCAGUUAGGGGCGAGGCAAGGAGAACCUGCCUGGAGACCACGUGCUGCGUAGUGACGAGCCAGGUGGGCUGGGCACGGCGAGGACCAAGCUGAGGGGGCGGCGACCAAGCUGGGCGCGGAGGCGACCAAGCUGAGGCGGAGGCGACCAAACUGGGUGCCUGGGCGCGGGGCCGAGCGCCUGGAAACGGGGCCGAGCGCCUGGAUGAUGGGGACGAUGCGUGCUCGUGGAGGAGGGGGACGACGCAAGCUACUGGAGGAGGGGGACGGUGCAAGCUUCUGGAGGAAGACGACGACACGAGCUCCUGGAGGAAGACGACGGCAUGAGCUCCUGGAGGAUGGGGACGACGCGAGCUCCUGGAGGAUGGGGACGACGCGAGCUCCUGGGGGAUGGGGACGGCACGAGCUCCUGGGGGAAGGGGAUGGCGCGAGCUCCUGGGGGAUGGGGACGGCGCGAGCUCCUGGAGGAGGAAGACGACGCGAAUUCAAAUCGAGGGUAAAAUGGUUUAAUUUUCCAUUUGUCGGCUGUGUCCUAAAAUUGUAAACGCUCUUAUAAAAGUUUACAGAGGGAGUAGUUAAGUUCUCCAAAUCGUUGCCAGAGUUGGAUAAUGGAUACUGCAUUGCCUUCUUAAUAAAUUUGUUCAUCCUGAUAGGGACAUUGCAUUACCUUC